rnacentral:rRNA from 1 species
UACGAAGGGGGCUAGCGUUGCUCGGAAUUACUGGGCGUAAAGGGCGCGUAGGCGGGUCGUUUAGUUAGAGGUGAAAGCCCAGGGCUCAACCCUGGAAUUGCCUUUAAUACUGGCGGCCUUGAGUAUGGCAGAGGUGUGUGGAACUCCGAGUGUAGAGGUGAAAUUCGUAGAUAUUCGGGAAAGAACACCAGUGGCGAAGGCCGACACACUGGGCCAUUACUGACGCUGAGGCGCGAAAGCGUGGGGAGCAAACAGG